rnacentral:rRNA from 1 species
CAGCAGCCGCGGGAAUACAGGGGAUGCAAGCGUUACUCGGAAUUACUGGGCGUAAAGCGUGCGUAGGUGGUUCGUUAAGUCUGAUGUGAAAGCCCUGGGCUCAACCUGGGAAUUGCAUUGGAUACUGGCGAGCUAGAGUGCGGUAGAGGGUAGUGGGAUUCCCGGUGUAGCAGUGAAAUGCGUAGAGAUCGGGAGGAACAUCUGUGGCGAAGGCGACUGCCUGGACCAGCACAGACACUGAGGCACGAAAGCGCGGGGAGCAAACAGGAUUAGAUACCCCAGUAGUCCCUGUCUCUUAUAC